UGGCAAUUUAGGUAGACCAACACUUAAACUGCAAAGAUGCUCAGCAAGAAGAGAUCUACAAAUACUAUGAUCAGCAAGAAAGAAAGAUAUACCAAUAAUUGAACAUCGUUUAAAAUGUUUUUUUGAGUUAUGAGCUACAUGUAUAUUCUUGAAAAAACUACAUGUAAGAACUAGUAAACUGCAAAAAUAAUCAGCAAGACAAAUUUCACAAGUACAAUGUCAGUCAACAUGGCUGCAACUAAAGCAACC
rnacentral:lncRNA from 1 species